UUAGGGGAGUUUUGAGAAGUUAAAAAAUAAGAUAAAUCCGACUCCAAUUUAGAAAUCCGACUCCAAUUUAGACUUUAUUAGGAAGCAAUGAUGGGUUUGUGGUCUAUUGUGAUGCACCUUGGGUAGGUCUUUGUUGUGUGUUGAUGCAACAUGGGAAGGUAAUUGCCUAUGCUUCCAGGCAGUUAAAGGUACAUGAGAAAAACUAUCCUACUC
rnacentral:lncRNA from 1 species